rnacentral:lncRNA from 1 species
AUUGCUUAUUCAUAGUCCAAGAUGGUGCAGCAGUGCAGAGGUGGUUUGUCGUUCUCCCGUGUACAUUUUGUAUUUUUUUUGUAUACAUUUCAAUUUCUUUUCAAUAUCUUUUCCAUUUUUAAAUUAAAUAUACCUUCCGGCAACCCGCCCAAUGUGAUACGGAUCCUCUAUUUUUAGACCUUAUAGCCAGAACCUCCAUCAGAAGCUAGCCAUCAGAAGCUAACAAGCUAAUUAGCUACUAGCUAUUUAGUCAUUGUCAGCCACUGCAAUCGACCUUUACCUUUUGCACAGACACCAGCCGCUUUUAGCCUGGAUAAUACUUGCCAACCUGCCAGUAUCGGACUGUUUUCUCCACUACAACGCCAGAUUCCUGCCAUAAGCCCUGGACCAUUACUCCUGAUCAUCACAGCUAGCUAGCUGCCACCGAGUGGCCCAGCCCCGAAGCUAGCUUUGAGCCAGGCCCACCUCCCGGACUGCUCAGUGAUCACUCGGCUACACAGCUGACGCCUCCGGGACUCUUCAUCAACGCGACUAGAAUCCACUACUCCACCGGAUUCUUGCCGUAAGCUCUGGACCUUUGCAUCGGAUCAUCGCUGCUAGCUAGCUGCUACCGAGUGCUUAUAAUGGCAAAAGCCUCUGUCCCGAAGCUAGCACCAGUUAGCCACGAGCCAGGCGCAUCUCCCGGCUAGCAAACAAAAUUACUCCAGCUACAAUACCUCUUUUGCCAACUGGCCUUGACCCUUUGUCAACACGGAUCCCCGCCGUUCCAUCAGGACUGGUAUGCCGACGUAACUCCAUCCGUUGAGCCCUAACCCAGCCUUUGCCGGACGUCGGAGCAAAUGCUUUUACUAGCCCCGGCCUGCUAACUUUUUAUUUUAUUUUUUAUUUUAUUAUUAUAAAAAAAAUAAUUGGAACGCCAUGUCUCUCGCUUGCUAGUGUAGUAACGACCACCCAGCGGCUUCCCUGUUUCAUCUAUUGCUGUUCACUGGACCCUAUGAUCACUUGGCUACAUAGCUGAUGCCUGCUGGACUGUUCAUUAAUCACGGUACUCCAUUUUGUUUAUUUUUUGUUUGUCGGCCCCAGCCUCGAACUCAGGCCCUGUGUGUAGUUAACUGACCCUCUCUGCCCAUUCAUCGCCAUUUUACCUCUUCUUGUUGUCUUAGCUGAUUAGCUGUUGUUGUCUUACCCAUUGUUGUCUUAGCUAGCUCUCCCAAUCAACACCUGUGAUUGCUUUAUGCCUCGCUUUAUGUGUCUCUCUAAUGUCAAUAUGCCUUGUAUAUUGUUGUUUAGGAUAGUUAUCAUUGUUUUAGUUUACUGCGAAGCCCCUAGUCCCAUUCAACAUGCCUCAGAUACCUCCUUUGUCCCACCUUCCACACAUGCGGUGACCUCACCCAGCAUAACUAGUGUGUCCAGAGAUGCAAUCUGUCUUAUCGCCACUCAAUGCCUGGGUUUACCUCCACUGUACCCACACCCUACCAUACCCCUGUCUGUACAUUAUCCCCUGAAAUCUGCUCCUUUUAUUCUCUGUCCCCAACGCACUAGAAGACGCACUAGAAGACCAGUUUUGAUAGCCUUUAGCCGUACCCUCAUCCUACUCCUCCUCUGUUCCUCGGGUGAUGUGGAGGUUAACCCAGGCUUUGCGUGUCCCCAGCACACUCCGCCAACCCUGAUGUCCUUGCCGUGUCUGAAUCCUGGCUUAGGAAGGCCACCAAAAAUUCAGAGAUUUCCAUCCCCAACUACAACAUUUUCCGUCAAGAUAAAACUGCCAAAGGGGGAUGAGUUUCAGUCUACAGCAGAGAUAGCCUGCAAAGUUCUGUCAUACUUUCCAGGUCAAUGCUCAAACAGUUCGAGCUUCUAAUUAAAAAAAUUAAUCUCUCCAGAAAUAAGUCUCACUGUUGCCGCCUGUUAUAGACCCCCCUCAGCUCCCAGCUGUGCCCUAGACACCAUAUGUGAAUUGAUUGCCCCCCAUCUAUCUUCAGAGUUCGUUCUGUUAGGUGACCUAAACUGGGAUAUGCUUAACAAACUGUUAUAGACCUAUAUCCAUCCUGCCCUGCCUUUCUAAAGUCUUCGAAAGCCAAGUUAAUAAACAGAUCACUGACCAUUUCGAAUCCCACCGUACCUUCUCCGCUGUGAAAUCCGGUUUCCGAGCUGGUCAUGGGUGCACCUCAGCCACGCUCAAGGUCCUAAAUGAAAUCAUAACCGCCAUCGAUAAAAGACAGUACUGUGCAGCCUUCUUCAUCGACCUGGCCAAGGCUUUCGACUAUGUCAAUCAUAGGUUUCUCUCAAUCAUUGGUUUCUCAACUGACUGCCUCGCCUGGUUCACCAACUACUUCUCAGAUAGAGUUCAGUGUGUCAAAUCGAAGGGCCAGUUGUCCGGACCUCUGGCAGUCUCUAUGGGGGUGCCACAGGGUUCAAUUCUCGGGCCGACUCUUUUCUCUGUAUAUAUCAACGAUGUCGCUCUUGCUGCGGGUGAUUCCCUGAUCCACCUCUACGCAGACGACACCAUUCUGUAUACAUCUGGCCCUUCUUUGGACACUGUGUUAACAGACCUCCAAACGAGCUUCAAUGCCAUACAACACUCCUUCCGUGGCCUCCAACUGCUCUUAAACGCUAGUAAAACUAAAUGCAUGCUUUUCAAUCGUUCGCUGCCCGCACCCACCCGCCCGACUAGCAUCACUACUCUGGACGGUUCUGACUUAGAAUAUGUGGUAAACUACAAAUACCUAGGUGUCUGGCUAGACUGUAAACUCUCCUUCCAGACUCAUAUUAAACAUCUCCAAUACAAAAUGAAAUCUAGAAUCGGCUUCCUAUUUCGCAACAAAGCCUCCUUCACUCACGCCGCCAAACAUACCCUCGUAAAACUGACUAUCCUACCGAUCCUCGACUUCGGUAAUGUCAUUUACAAAAUAGCCUCCAACACUCUACUCAGCAAACUGGAUGCAGUCUAUCACAGUGCCAUCCGUUUUGUCACCAAAGCCCCAUAUACUACCCACCUGUCACGUUCUGACCUGUAAAGAUGUUAUUUGUUAGUGUUUAGUAUGGUCAGGAUGUGGCAGGGGGUAUUUUGUUUAUAUGUUUCGGGGAUUGUUAGUCUAUGUGUAUAGACAAGGGGUGUUUGAUUAGAGUGGUCUAGAGUUUUGGUAUAUGUUCUAUGUUAGGGCAUUUUCUAUGUUUAUUCUAGUCACUCUGUUUCUAUGUGCAGUUUUGUUCUUGACCUUCAAUUGGAAGCAGCGGCUCCUCGUUGCUUCUGAUUGAAGGUCCUAUAAUUAGGGGUUUGUUUGUAUUGUGGAUUGUGGGUAGUUGUAUUCUGUUUUGUGCUUAUCACCUGACAGAACUGUUAGUGUCGUUUCCGUUAAUUGUAUACGUGUUUCAUUUGUUUCUCCUUCUUCAAUAUUAAAAAAAGAAGAUGAGUAUACACUUCCCUGUUGCGUCUUGGUCCUCCACACACAACACGCGUUACACCACCACUGCGACCUGUAUGCUCUCGUCGGCUGGCCCUCGCCAGAUAUUCGUCGCCAAUGCUGCAGACAUUUUUUGGACCCUUCCCUAGAUCUGUGCCUCGACACAAUCCUGUCUCGGAUCUCUACGGACAAUUCCUUCGACCUCAUGGCUUGGUUUUUGCUCUGACAUGCAUUGUCAACUGUGGGACGUUAUAUAGACAGGUGUGUGCCUUUCCAAAUCAUGUCCAAUCAAUUGAAUUUAUCACAGGUGGACUCCGAUCAAGUUGUAUAAACAUUUUAAGGAUGAUCAAUGGAAACAGGAUGCACCUGAGCUCAAUUUUGAGUCUCAUAGCAAAUGGUCUGAAUACUUAUAUAAAUAAGAUAUUUCUGUUUUAUAUUUUUGGUUAAUUUUACACAAAUUUCAAAAAACCUGUUUUCGCUUUGUCAUUAUGUGGUAUUGUGUGUAGAUUGGGG